GUCCGGACAUUUGUGUUUAUUGAAGCUUUAAGAUUUUUAAAGAUGAUUCUGCGAAGUCAACAGUGCACACCAGUUGAAAAUGUUAUUACGUAAUACAGUAUUAGAGAUUGCUAGAUAUAAUUAUUAAAUCAUUGUUAUAGCAUUAUUGCAUGGAUUAAUAUGUAUUAUGGGAGACUAGUUGGACAAUUCCCAUUUUGUUUAGUAUUGAAUAAAACAAAAUACAGUAGAAAGAA